UUAAGUUAUUAAGGGCGCACGGUGGAUGCCUUGGCACUAGAAGCCGAUGAAGGACGUUACUAACGACGAUAUGCUUUGGGGAGCUGUAAGUAAGCUUUGAUCCAGAGAUUUCCGAAUGGGGAAACCCAGCAUGAGUUAUGUCAUGUUAUCGAUAUGUGAAUACAUAGCAUAUCAGAAGGCACACCCGGAGAACUGAAACAUCUUAGUACCCGGAGGAAGAGAAAGAAAAUUCGAUUCCCUUAGUAGCGGCGAGCGAAACGGGAAGAGCCCAAACCAACAAGCUUGCUUGUUGGGGUUGUAGGACACUCUAUACGGAGUUACAAAGGACGACAUUAGACGAAUCAUCUGGAAAGAUGAAUCAAAGAAGGUAAUAAUCCUGUAGUCGAAAAUGUUGUCUCUCUUGAGUGGAUCCUGAGUACGACGGAGCACGUGAAAUUCCGUCGGAAUCUGGGAGGACCAUCUCCUAAGGCUAAAUACUCUCUAGUGACCGAUAGUGAACCAGUACCGUGAGGGAAAGGUGAAAAGCACCCCGGAAGGGGAGUGAAAUAGAACCUGAAACCGUGUGCUUACAAGUAGUCAGAGCCCGUUAAUGGGUGAUGGCGUGCCUUUUGUAGAAUGAACCGGCGAGUUACGAUUUGAUGCAAGGUUAAGCAGUAAAUGUGGAGCCGUAGCGAAAGCGAGUCUGAAUAGGGCGUUUAGUAUUUGGUCGUAGACCCGAAACCAGGUGAUCUACCCUUGGUCAGGUUGAAGUUCAGGUAACACUGAAUGGAGGACCGAACCGACUUACGUUGAAAAGUGAGCGGAUGAACUGAGGGUAGCGGAGAAAUUCCAAUCGAACCUGGAGAUAGCUGGUUCUCUCCGAAAUAGCUUUAGGGCUAGCCUCAAGUGAUGAUUAUUGGAGGUAGAGCACUGUUUGGACGAGGGGCCCCUCUCGGGUUACCGAAUUCAGACAAACUCCGAAUGCCAAUUAAUUUAACUUGGGAGUCAGAACAUGGGUGAUAAGGUCCGUGUUCGAAAGGGAAACAGCCCAGACCACCAGCUAAGGUCCCAAAAUAUAUGUUAAGUGGAAAAGGAUGUGGCGUUGCCCAGACAACUAGGAUGUUGGCUUAGAAGCAGCCAUCAUUUAAAGAGUGCGUAAUAGCUCACUAGUCGAGUGACACUGCGCCGAAAAUGUACCGGGGCUAAACAUAUUACCGAAGCUGUGGAUUGUCCUUUGGACAAUGGUAGGAGAGCGUUCUAAGGGCGUUGAAGCAUGAUCGUAAGGACAUGUGGAGCGCUUAGAAGUGAGAAUGCCGGUGUGAGUAGCGAAAGACGGGUGAGAAUCCCGUCCACCGAUUGACUAAGGUUUCCAGAGGAAGGCUCGUCCGCUCUGGGUUAGUCGGGUCCUAAGCUGAGGCCGACAGGCGUAGGCGAUGGAUAACAGGUUGAUAUUCCUGUACCACCUAUAAUCGUUUUAAUCGAUGGGGGGACGCAGUAGGAUAGGCGAAGCGUGCGAUUGGAUUGCACGUCUAAGCAGUAAGGCUGAGUAUUAGGCAAAUCCGGUACUCGUUAAGGCUGAGCUGUGAUGGGGAGAAGACAUUGUGUCUUCGAGUCGUUGAUUUCACACUGCCGAGAAAAGCCUCUAGAUAGAAAAUAGGUGCCCGUACCGCAAACCGACACAGGUAGUCAAGAUGAGAAUUCUAAGGUGAGCGAGCGAACUCUCGUUAAGGAACUCGGCAAAAUGACCCCGUAACUUCGGGAGAAGGGGUGCUCUUUAGGGUUAACGCCCAGAAGAGCCGCAGUGAAUAGGCCCAAGCGACUGUUUAUCAAAAACACAGGUCUCUGCUAAACCGUAAGGUGAUGUAUAGGGGCUGACGCCUGCCCGGUGCUGGAAGGUUAAGAGGAGUGGUUAGCUUCUGCGAAGCUACGAAUCGAAGCCCCAGUAAACGGCGGCCGUAACUAUAACGGUCCUAAGGUAGCGAAAUUCCUUGUCGGGUAAGUUCCGACCCGCACGAAAGGCGUAACGAUUUGGGCACUGUCUCAACGAGAGACUCGGUGAAAUCAUAGUACCUGUGAAGAUGCAGGUUACCCGCGACAGGACGGAAAGACCCCGUGGAGCUUUACUGUAGCCUGAUAUUGAAAUUCGGCACAGCUUGUACAGGAUAGGUAGGAGCCUUUGAAACGUGAGCGCUAGCUUACGUGGAGGCGCUGGUGGGAUACUACCCUAGCUGUGUUGGCUUUCUAACCCGCACCACUUAUCGUGGUGGGAGACAGUGUCAAGCGGGCAGUUUGACUGGGGCGGUCGCCUCCUAAAAGGUAACGGAGGCGCUCAAAGGUUCCCUCAGAAUGGUUGGAAAUCAUUCAUAGAGUGUAAAGGCAUAAGGGAGCUUGACUGCGAGACCUACAAGUCGAGCAGGGUCGAAAGACGGACUUAGUGAUCCGGUGGUUCCGCAUGGAAGGGCCAUCGCUCAACGGAUAAAAGCUACCCCGGGGAUAACAGGCUUAUCUCCCCCAAGAGUUCACAUCGACGGGGAGGUUUGGCACCUCGAUGUCGGCUCAUCGCAUCCUGGGGCUGUAGUCGGUCCCAAGGGUUGGGCUGUUCGCCCAUUAAAGCGGUACGCGAGCUGGGUUCAGAACGUCGUGAGACAGUUCGGUCCCUAUCCGUCGUGGGCGUAGGAAAUUUGAGAGGAGCUGUCCUUAGUACGAGAGGACCGGGAUGGACAUACCUCUGGUGUACCAGUUGUCGUGCCAACGGCAUAGCUGGGUAGCUAUGUGUGGACGGGAUAAGUGCUGAAAGCAUCUAAGCAUGAAGCCCCCCUCAAGAUGAGAUUUCCCAACUU
rnacentral:rRNA from 1 species